rnacentral:sRNA from 1 species
CUGAAGCCUAUAGCCUGAAUUCCUUCAUCCAUGGAACAGAUAUAACAGGGCUAACGGCAGUGUGAAUUUCUUCACACUGUCCUGCCAAUGUGUCUUAACCCUGACCUCGAAAGGCCACCUUUAGGGGUGACAGAGCAUGUCAUUUUCCUUAGCCAUUCAAUCCAUGGACACU